UUUGAUAUUAAGAGAUAUACAUACGAUUGAAAUAGAGUUAAUACGACACUCUUCUAUUUUGUGUGAUCAUUUGAAAAAGGAUUUUAUAUUAAUAGAUGACCUGUUCAUAAAAUAUACUACUAUUGUAAAUUUUAGCAGAUGUAUGUUUUUAGAAAAUGUAAUUGAGGGUGUAAAUGUGUCUAACACAGGUGCUUCUAAUGCAACAACGCCUAACGUAACUUCUCCCAAUAGGGUAUUACCUAACAAAGCCGAUUUUGAAAAAAAUCUUGAAUCCAUGCAUAUCAGCAAAAACGGACUCGUAUUUUGUGAAGUAAUAAAUUUGUUUAAUUCUUUAUUAAAGCGAGUAGAACAACAUUAUCAUCCCAUAAAUCAGAUAUUAAAAAUUUUGAACAUAAAAACGGAACAAACUGAAAACAUUCACCUUUUAUAUCUUACGAUAAGUGAAAAAAUAAAAAGAUACCUAACAAAUAUCAGUAAUGAAUGGUUUAAACAAACAGUAAACGUUGUAAAUCAUUUUUUGAAUGAAAAUAUAUUUAAAGUGGAACGUGGUAUGUUUUACGUGAAUUUUCACCCAUACAUAUUUUUAUUCAUAAGUAAUGUAAAAAACUUUUUUCUAAACAAUUUGAGUGUUAAUCUAGAUUGUUUAGAGAUAUAUAAAAAAGCUAAUUCAUUUAAAAAAUAUAUAAAUAUAUUAAAUAAUAUUACUAAAAAACACAAUCAUGUGGUUGGUAAGACAUUAAAGGUAGAAAGAGAUUUAUUUAGAGAGAAAUUGUGUAAUGUAAAAAGAACAUUAAUGAAAGGAGUUAAUGAAAUAAAAUGGACCCAAGAUAAUAUUUAUGAAUAUAUUGAACAGGUUGAUAAAGAUAUGUCCGAUGUAUAUCAUAACAUUUCCAUCUUACAUAAUCAUUUUUUGUUUAUUUUGAAAGUAGCCAAAUCGAGUGUUGCAAAACCUGUUAUUGAAAGAAGAAAAACAAAAGAAGAUAUCUACAACUAUUUAAACGCAUAUAAAAAUAAUAUGUCUAUGUUAAAAAAUAAACUAACAGAAGAUUUUAAAAAUAUA
rnacentral:lncRNA from 1 species